rnacentral:rRNA from 1 species
GAUGAACGCUGGCGGCGUGCCUAACACAUGCCAGUCGAACGGCGUCCAGCCUUUAAGUCCUUCGGGUCAAAGGGGGGAAGCCUGAGUGGCGGACGGGCGAGGAACACGUCUGCAACCUGGCUCAUAGAGGGGGAUAACAGAGAGAAAUAUCUGCUACUACCGCAUAAGCACACACUGCCGCAUUGCAGAGGGGGAAAAGAGAAUCGCUAUGAGGUGGACCCGCGUCUGAUUAGCCAGUUGGCAGGGUAAGAGCCUACCAAAGCGACGAUCAGUAGCCGGGCUGGGAGGAUGAACGGCCACACUGCGACAGGGACACGGGGCGAACACCGACGGGAGGGAGCAGUGGGGGAUAUGGCACAAUGGGGGGAACCAUGAGGCAGCGGGGUCGCGAAGGUGAUGAGGUAUUACGGUAAGUAAGGCGCUAUAAGCAGGGAAGAUAAUGACAGUACCUGAAUAAGAAGACCCGGCUAACUACGU